AUAUCUGCAUGUCUAGUAUAAGCAACUAUACUGUGAAACUGCGAAUGGCUCAUUAAAUCAGUUAUCGUUUAUUUGAUAGUGCCCUUUACUACUUGGAUAACCGUGGUAAUUCUAGAGCUAAUACAUGCAUCAAGCCUCGACGUUUGGAGAGGCGUAUUUAUUAGAUAAAAAACCAAUGCCCUUGCGGGCUGCUUGGUGAAUCAUGAUAACGCAACGAAUCGCAUGGCCCUGCGCCGGCGAUGGUUCAUUCAAAUUUCUGCCCUAUCAACUUUCGAUUGUAGUUUAGUGGACUACAAUGGUUUCAACGGGUAACGGGGAAUGGGGCGGGGGCGGCGGGCCGGGCGCGGGGCGCGGCGGGCGA
rnacentral:rRNA from 1 species